UUUUUUUUUUGUUUCUUUAAAGUUGUUGUCACAGGAAAUCUGGGAAGAUAGCUAAUUUUUGCCCCUUGUAUCUGUCCUAAUGCGGGGAGACUUGGCGGGUUUGUUGUGGGUAUCUCGUUGGUGUUACAUCUUGUACUCGAUACGGUCUUGUGUAUGGAUUUCUGAGUGGGGUCAUGUUUCGGCUUAUACAGGAAGUUUUCAUGAUAUUCUUCUCCAUAUCUCA
rnacentral:misc_RNA from 1 species